rnacentral:rRNA from 1 species
AGUGAACGCUGGCGGUAGGCCUAACACAUGCAAGUCGAACGGCAGCACAGUAAGAGCUUGCUCUUACGGGUGGCGAGUGGCGGACGGGUGAGGAAUACAUCGGAAUCUACUUUUUCGUGGGGGAUAACGUAGGGAAACUUACGCUAAUACCGCAUACGACCUACGGGUGAAAGCAGGGGAUCUUCGGACCUUGCGCGAUUGAAUGAGCCGAUGUCGGAUUAGCUAGUUGGCGGGGUAAAGGCCCACCAAGGCGACGAUCCGUAGCUGGUCUGAGAGGAUGAUCAGCCACACUGGAACUGAGACACGGUCCAGACUCCUACGGGAGGCAGCAGUGGGGAAUAUUGGACAAAGGGCGCAAGCCUGAUCCAGCCAUACCGCGUGGGUGAAGAAGGCCUUCGGGUUGUAAAGCCCUUUUGUUGGGAAAGAAAAGCAGCAGGUUAAUACCCCGCUGUUCUGACGGUACCAAAGAAUAAGCACCGGCUAACUUCGUGC